GGUUAUUGCGAAGUGCCGUGGCUGCCGGCGGGCGCUGCGGGACUCUCUGCAAUGGGACCCGAGCAGCUCUAGAGGGAGGCGGCGGCCCCAGAAGGCCGUUGGCUGAGAGAGACCAGGAGCCCUCGGAGCCGCCGCGCGCAUAGCGCUGUGGAGCAAGAAGCCAACCGCAGCGCGGGUCGACACGCCAGUAUCUGGCACCGGCAGGAGGCGCGGAACUUAGCUGCCCCAUCGGAACCCCGCCCGGAGGAAGCUGAGGGCCGAGAAAGGAUGAAUUCCGGACCGGGUCGCCCAGCCACAAGUGGAAACCUGGGCUCUCUGGAAAACGUUCUGAUCUCGAUCUGGCUAUCUCUGAAACAAAACUCCAGCCCCGCAAACCUCCCAAAGUUCAGUACACGUCCCCGUCCUCACCCCUGCCCUCCGGGCCACCUGCAGCGGGGGACUUACCGGCGCCUCGGGUCUCCUCCUCCCGACCCAGCGCGUCGCGGACACAGCUGGCGGCCAACAGGAGGCUUGGGCGCUCGACGGCGCCGGAACCUGUGAGACCGUCGCUCUGGGCGGGCUGCCGUGCGGGGUGGCAUCCUCUGCGGUGACUUCUGCUGUCUUUUGGGUCCGCCAGGAUUCCAAAAUCCCAGGCGGGUCGCUAGAAUUAUCCAUCUUCGUGGACAGGAAGCCCCAGAACGAACCACAUCUGUCCCACUCUGCUUCCGCCCUCCUUCCCCUUCGCAAGCUCCUGGCUGGGAUGGAGACAUCGGACGAGCUCGGAGAUCCCGACCUCUCAGGGGUCACUCGCAGCCGAACAGCCUGGAAUAUGGCCUUGUGGGCCCUUCCCGCCCAACCCCCUAGGACCCCACUGCUCAUCUUGUCAACCAGUUUCUGAGCCCCUACCCUGGCUGCAGCACGUGCUCGCACAGGCGCGCUGAGCUACUAACAUAGAAUCAAAAGCAGGGAGUUGGGUGUUCUUGCUUUCCCGCUGAAACCUAGAAUGUAAACAAGCCCUAGACCGUCAGCUGUGGGUGGGUAGGGGCCUCUCCCUGCCUAGAACUGCUCUUGCCAUGGGUAGGCACCUAACCCGUAUUAGUAAGAAUGAAGGAAUGCAUGCUCAUAACAAGAAAGGGGUCAACCUGCUGCCCUGAUACUCACCUUCACCACUUACGUCUUGCUUCCAGCGCAAGCCCACUUCAGACCAUUGCCUCAUUCAGGUCCCAGAAGUCCUAAGGGUUUUAGUCUCUCAGUAUGGGCAAUUAUUCACAUGUAAGGGAGCUGCAAGGUGUUAUUUCAAUGCCAUCUGGCCUCUAUAAGGUCUUGCAUCAUAGCUGACCUCUCAUGAGAAGGUUCUGAUGAGGUCACCAGGGAGAAGGAAUGUAAAGGGCUGGUGGCUGAAAAGGAGUGAAAUGGCCCCUCUUAGGUGAGCUCUGGCCUGGUUUGAGUUUCAAUUCUGUCUCCUCAGCUCCAUUUCUCAAUGGGAAAAGGUCCAUAGGAAGGUUGUCAGAAGGGCAGGAGACUAGGGCAGGGAUAGCCCUUUGCAGACCCUGAAAAAUUGCUCAGUAAUGCAAACAUUGUCCAUAUUUAAGUUCUUUCUUUUCUUUUCUUUUUUUUUUGAGGCAGAGUCUCACUCUGUCGCCCAGGCUGGAGUGCUAUGGCUUGGCUCACUGCAAGCUCCGCCUCCUGGGUUCACGCCAUUCUCCUGCCUCAGCCUCCCAAGUAGCUGGGACUACAGGCGCCCGCCACUACGCCCGGCUAAUUUUUCGUAUUUUCAGUAGAGACGGGGUUUCACCGUGUUAAUCAGGAUGGUCUCGAUCUCCUGACCUUGUGAUCCGCCCGCCUCGGCCUCCCAAAGUGCUGGGAUUAGAGGCGUGAGCCACUGCGCCCAGCCUUAAGUUCUUUAUUUUCUAUCUUGUGGACCAAAGGACUGCUACAGGCAAGGAAGACCAUCUGACUCAAUUCCAGAGGUUCCUUAGCAUGCUGCUGACUGGCCUAGGAGAAUGGCCUUUGCCCAUAAAGUAUUAGAUGUAGACCACAUGAAUGGAAUAUUCACCAGGUUUCUGCCCAGGUCUGGAUUGGGCAAGGACAUGGCUGGAGGUGCCUUACAGGAGAGAAGGCCAAAGAGAGAGAAGACUUGACUCCCAACCUGAUUCCAGCAGAACUCCACUUUGAUGUGUUUUUAAAAUUGUGCUCUUCUGUUUGCUUUCACGGAGGCUGCCAUGAAACGUCAUCUUUGACUAGAAUUAUCAGGAAAUGCUCAUGGAAGAAAUAUACUUCCUUGGAUUUUUUUUCCUACCACACUUCAGGAUAUAACUAGAGAAAACAUUUGCCAACAGUGCUUAUCAUAUUAGUACCCUGUGAAGGUUUUCAUAGAUGCUGAUUAUUAUUUUUAAAAUCAUUUCGGGAAUAGGAGCCAAACACUAGGUCAUGACUGUACUUACUUUAGUAUUUACAUUAAGUGAUGAAAAAUGGAAAUAAAGGAAAUGUCCUGUCAUGAAACAAGUUAGAAUUAGGUGACUUUCAUGUCCUGAUUUCCAAGGUUUUCUGUUUGUUUCAGACAGACAAGAUCAUCCAUGGGUUCUUGGACAAGUAAUAGGUCUCAUUUUCCCUUGUAGACCAGAAGACAUGGAAAAGACAGCAUAUUCGGACUAUAUUCAUAUUUCCAUACCAUCUUUUGUUGUAAUUGAUUUUCAACAAGAGCCCCUAACAAUCUCUUGAGUUUGGGCCAUCCCCAUAUUCUACAAGGGAAAAUGAGAUCUCUUACUACUCCAAUAACCCAUGCUUACACUAUCUGUAUGGAACAAACAGAGAACCAUCAAAAUCUGAACGCAGAAGUCACUUAUUUAGUCCCAAUCUAUUUUGUGAAAGAAAAUUUCUUUUACUCAAAGAGAUGAAGAAAUUUACGGAAUGGCUUGGGAAUGAGAAGAUUCAGGUGGGACCAUGGAAGCAAAGCUUGUUCUUUUGUGGAUGGAAGUUUGAAAGAAAGAAAAAUAUGCCAAGAUGAUUAAGUUUCACCUAAGAUUUUAAAGCUCCCACCUAAAAGAUGUGGAAAACAAGCACUAUACCAGGAUAUUGUACCUUAUUUCUGCCCUGUCUUAAAAACACCAUGACAUUUUCCUUGAUUUCAAGAAUACAGAAAAUGAACAUGGUCCUUUAAAUUAUGUGACUCUUUCGAAGCAAAAUGACAACAAGGAAAAACCACAUUUGUUUUCUGCCUCCCUUUUUCAAGAAGCUGAAAAUAUAGUGUAAAUGAACUCUUGGUCGUGGGUCAACAUCCUUACAAUACCUGCCCCUCGUUCUCAGGUUAGAGAUUUCUCCUCUGCCUUUUCAUUCUCACCCACACCCAACUUGAAAUAGGUCUCCAGGUCCCAUUUUGAUCACAUAUUCUUUCAGUCACAUGCGGAACAUGAGAAGGGGUUAAAUGUAGCUCUGCAAGACCAGCAAAACUCAUCACUAAACUGGAAAACAACUUCAGGCUUACUAUCAACAGGGGGUAGUUAGCAUCAGUUUAAAGACUGUGAAUGUGCACAAAUGUUUUCUAAGAAUAUUUUUCAGAAGAGUGUAAUUAUAGGUAUAAUCUCUAAUUGCAUUAUAAAUGAUAAAUAAGAGACGGUUAGCAAACUAUAUUUCAGGGCUGUUUGCUGUACUUAUCUGCUGCCAUCACUGGCCCUGUCUUCCUUUGUGACUGCAGACUGUGUUGUUUAUUAGUCUUGGUGGUAAGGGGGAAUUGCUGUACAGUACUUUUGUGUUAGGACAGGAUCUUACAGAUGAUAAUGAAGGUUGCAGGAAGGACUGUUGAAACGUUUUAUUUUGGUAUUUGUUUCAUUUUUAAAGGCUGUGACUAGGACUUCAUACCUGUCUAAUAAGCAUGCAUGUAACAUUUUUAUAUUUGCUGAGUGCUUCAUAGUCCUCCAUUAGUCCCCACAAUACCCCUUGAGGGUAGGUCAGUAUUACAGUUUACAAUAUGAGGAAAUUUAAGAUACAAAGGGAUUAUGUGAUUUGUACAAGGUCACCCAGCAUGCAAGCCUAGCUAAUAAAAUAUGACUACAAAGCUCUUUCCAAAUAAAAAGUACCUUAUAAAUGUUAGGUAGUAUUAAUGGGUAUGAUCCCAGAAUGAGUAAAAUACUCUUCAGGAGUAAAGUGCUCAUACAUGGUAUAUAAUAUUAAUUCUCUCUCUUUUUUUUUUUUUUUUUUUAACCUGUGGGUGACUUUUGAAAUAGUUAUUCUUGAACCUGGCUAUGCAUCAGAAAUGUCUCUAGAGUUUUUAGAACAUGUGAGCACAUAGACCCCUACUCAGCCGACAGAAUCAUAAUCUGGGCAGUGGGAUUUAGAUAAUUAUGCCUUGAAAAAUCUCCAUGGGGGAUUUGGAUGCUCAGUCAGAGCUGAGAACCACUACUCUAGGCUAGAAGAGUAACAUCGGUCAGGCCAAGAGCAACAACAAAACACUGUGGAGUUAAUUCAGAAGAGAAAGUCUGGUGUCUUCCAGGCCUCUGUCCAGCCAGUUCACAACUAUUAUUAGCAGAGGAACUGCCUCCCUGAAAUAAUCAACUGUAAUAACCAUGUGUGAAAUUCCCGGAAAUAGUGCAGAGAUUAAAGUUUAUUUAAGAACCGUCAGUUUUUGAAAGUUAUAAUUUACUGGGUAAAUUUACUGGCACACCCUUGGUUUAUUACUGUGCUUAGUGUUUUUAUUCUGAAUACUUUGUACUUCUUCAUAAUCAACAUGGUAAGAACCUAUAAUAUCUGCCCAUUCAUCCAUCUGCCAAACACUUAUUGAAUACUUGCUGUAUGGAAAUUUCAGAGUGAAAAUAAUGAUCUUUUUCCAGAAGUUUAUAAUCAAGUGAUAAAAACAGACACAGGCAAAACCAACCAACCAAACAAAAACCUGAAGCCACACAUAUGAUAAUAAAAAGUAUAAUCAAAGUGUUAGAUGAGGCAUUAUUCAUAAUUGCUAAAAAGUGGAAACAGCUCAAAUAUCCAUCAACUGAUAAAUGGAUAAAUGUGGUAUACCCACACAAUGAAGUAUUAUUAUUAUUCAAACAAUGAAGUGGAAUGUAUACUGAUAAUGCUACAAUAUGGAUGGAUCUUAAAAACACUAUGCUAAGUGAGAGAAGCCAGUCACAAACGUGGUAUUCCCAUACAAUGAACUAUUAUUAUUAUUAUUAUUAAACAAUGAAGUGGAAUGUAGUACUGAUACAUGCUACAACAUGGAUGGAUCUUAAAAACGCUAUGUUAAGUGAGAGACACCAGUCACAAAGGACCACAUAUCGUAUGAUUCCAUUUAUAUGAAAUGUCUUGAAUAGGCAAAUCUGUAGAGACAGAAAACAGAUGGUUGCCUAGGGCUGGGGAUGGGGAAGGAUGGAGGAAAUGGGUGACUGCUAGUGGGUACAGGGUUUCUUUUUGGAGUGACGAAAUGUCCUAAAAUUGAUUGUGGUGACAGCUGCACAACUUCGUUGACUAUACUAAAAACCGUUCAAUUGUACGCUUUAAAUGGGUGAAUUGUAUGAUAUGCAAAUUGUAUCUCUAAUAAAGACAAUGGAAGAUAGAUAGAUAGAUAGAUAGAUAGAUAGAUAGAUAGAUAGAGCUGUAUGAACUUGGAGGAAAGAGAGAUUAAUUAAUUUGGAUUGGAAGAAAGUCGUGGGAAAUUUCCUGGAGGAAAUGAUAUUUGAGCUGACUCAAAAAGGAUGAUUUUUGUAAGAUGGUGUGGAUGAAAGGAGGGAAGGUAUGCUCAAAGAGACACUCAAAGUGAGGGUGCUUUCAUGCAAGGGCAAGUUAUCUGGAAUAGACAAGAGUUUAAGAUGCAUGAAGGAUACAGUAGAUGGAGGCUAGAUGCAGGGCUUUUACUGUCAUGCUAAGUUCUGUGGUUUGGUUUUCAUUUUUGUAGGCAAUGGAAAGCCACGAUAGGUCUGUGAGUGGAUGAUCAGACCUGUGAUUUGGAAGGAUAAUUAGAAGUGGUGAUGAGGUAGAUAGAAGAUGGCAUAGGAGAGCAGUGAGUAAGGGAGGCCAUUUAGGAGGCAAAGGCAUUGCAAUGUGUAGGUGAGAGAUGAAGAAGCCUUCGACUACUGCAAAAGCCGUGAGGACUGAAACAAGGAGACAGAUUUUUUUUUUUUAGUAGAGUCAGGGCACUAUGUUGCCCAGGGUGGUCUUGAACUCCUGGGCUCAAGCAAUCCUCCCACCUCAAUCCUCCCACCUCAAAGCAAUCCUCCCGCCUCCCAAAGUGUUAGGAUUACAGGUGUGAGCCACUGCGCCCGACCAAGGAGGCAGAUUUAAGAAAUGGUUAAGAAGUAGAAUCAUUAAACUCACGUACCCCCUGAUGGCCCUGGGGGAGUAGGUGGAAAAGCAUACAAAUUGGACAGCACACUAUCUGAAACCACGUAAGGGCAUGGGUCCUUUUUUGACAAAUUAUUUUGAAUGAAAAAACUUUUGUUGAAAUAAUGUCCAGCAAGCAAAUUGUAGCUCUUUACAUCUGUUAACAAGGGUUUGAUUACAGACAUUCUUCAAUUUUUUAACAAAGGAAUGUAUAUUGUGAAUCAAAGGUGGAUUGAAGACAGAAAUGCAAUCCAAUCAUUCUGUGAGCACUUUCCAAUCAGACCUCCCCUUGUUGAAGAUGAAGCAGUCGUCAUUUAUGGACUAUUCCGAAUGACUAAGUAUUUACCUCUUGCUCAGAUAGCUUCCCUAGAAACACUUCCUUUGGUGUGAGCAACUUGGAUUUACUGCCAGGGCAACACCUCCCAUCCAACGCCCACACUGCCUCUUGGCUGGGUCCUCACCAGCAGGUGUUCAUAAGCAGUAUUUUGUUUUGCUUCUAUUAAGAGUGUAGGCUUUGAAAAGCAUCGUCUGAACGUAUCACCCAUUAUACUUUCACUUACAAGUGUUCUUAUGGGGAGAUCUGAAACCUUGGCGUCUCAAGGAUCAGGAAGACAAAGACUGCCUUUUCUCAUGCAAGGCCACACCUAUGUUUUCCAUUAGAAGGAGGGGCAGGCAAAUCCUGGGCAAGGUCAAAAUAUAAAGUCUCUCCCAGUGCAUGGCGGUGCACUCCCUGGGGAUCUGUUAAAACCUCUUUUGUGUGUUUUGGAAGGUGUUACGGUGAAACUGCCUGCUGCUAGCUGAGUUUGAGAACAGUGACCCUGACAAGUGCCUUACAGGAGUUUAUCAAGUGGAGAACACCAUUUAGAACACCACUCACUGAGAUGCAGCUCUUAUCUGUGCCUGUCAGUGAACAAUGUUCAAUCGCAGAUCACAGUUGUUAGCAGAGCUAAUUACAGCAGUCUCAGGUGAGAAGAAUCCCAGCAACUGCCUCUAAGGGACUUCCAUCACAGGGGCUUCGCAGCCCACGUCUUGAGGGCCUCCUCCCAAGUCCUGAAGGUGAAUCCUGCCUGUGGGAUACCUGGUUUGCUGGGGACGUUGGCCCUGAAUGAGAAUUUCUAAUGUCAAAUUGGGACUUAAGAAGAUAUCUCUAGAACAGAACCAAAAAGAAUCUGUAACAACGUGCCCUAAACAUGUCUUAGGCUGGGUCUGUAACUACAUUCUUGUUCCUGCUGAAAAUCGCAGCAUCCUUCUA
rnacentral:lncRNA from 1 species